AUCGUAAUGAUUUAAGAUGAGCUACAAUGUGGAAGAUACAUAUCUCAAAUUAUGAUUUUGAAAGCCCCUAUUGAAAACACAUAUUUCAAACAUAUAAGAGCAUAUUCAGAAUAUUUGUAUUUAUGUUGAAUUUUGGUGUGAAUUAGAACAUUAUAUACUAAAAUUAGGCAAGUUGAAAGAUAAAACAAAAUCAAUUCAUUUUUCCUAAAUAGAUAUAUCCUUCUCUUCCCUUUUUUUUUACAAAUUUUAUUUUACUUUCAGAUUUUAGAGAUGAUUGUAAAUGACAAAUCUGAAAUAAAAUAAAAAUAACUUCAUAUAGUACUUCAAACAUUCAAUCAUGGAACAUUACAAAAUAUUGGGAAUUCAUAAUUCAGAACAUCAGGCCACAUGCAAAAUAUGUUAUGUGUUAAGUCAUGCAUUAAAAUAAUAAGAACACGCAUGUCAAGGAUCAAAAUCAAUUCUUUUCAAAUAAACUCUCCCUAUUUAAAUAUAAUCUUGCAUUGAUUU
rnacentral:lncRNA from 1 species